rnacentral:rRNA from 1 species
CGUAGGUGCAAGCGUUAUCCGGAAUUAUUGGGCGUAAAGGGCUCGUAGGCGGUUCGUCGCGUCCGGUGUGAAAGUCCAUCGCUUAACGGUGGAUCCGCGCCGGGUACGGGCGGGCUUGAGUGCGGUAGGGGAGACUGGAAUUCCCGGUGUAACGGUGGAAUGUGUAGAUAUCGGGAAGAACACCAAUGGCGAAGGCAGGUCUCUGGGCCGUCACUGACGCUGAGGAGCGAAGCGUGGGAGUGAACAGGAUU